GAAAUUCUGCUCAAAACAAGUGGAUCUUUAUUUCCAACUAAGGCCAGAUGGACUCUUAUCAGGAUGGAAAUAACUCUGCAAGGAAUGGUUUCUUCCUCUGCCAACCAGAGUUAUCUCAUUUGAGCUGAGGAAGUCAAAAGCAGAGCCACUUUGUCAGCACAAUCGUCAGCCAGGACGAUGAGCUUGACCAAGAGCAAGAGGAAGACAGAGCUGCAGGAGGCCGGUCUCAUGAAUCCAGUUUGAUCAUAACAAAAUUAUCAGCUAAAUUCCAACAGAGAGACCCUACAAGUUCUCUAACUCCUCAAAGCCAUUAAGGUCAUCAAAAAUAAGGACAAUCUGAGUAUCAACAAUAGCCAAGAAGAACUUAAGGGGCCAUUAAAGACCAAAGUGAAACCAUAUCCUGGACAGAAUCAUGGAGCACAAAAGGAUAUUUGGUCAACACGGAAGCCCUACAGCAUGAGACAGUUUGGGAAAUGUGAACAGCAUCAGCUACUUGUGCAGCAUCCACCUUCCAUUACAACUUUGUCAUUCUCUUCUCCUACCUACUCAUAAAGGAAUGGCUUUGUAGUAAUAGUAAUUGCAAUCCAGUCACACAAAAGGCCACAUCUGGGAGACUAUUACCACGGAGGCCAGGAAGAGGAGCGGUCCCACUGGCCUAUAGGGUUCAGGUGCAGGAUUCCCUCCAGGGCAAUGCUCCUCUGGACCGCAGACUACACCUGCCUGGAACACGCUGGAAGCUUGUCAGAAUCACAGUGAUGCCCUUCUGUUUCCUCGCCAGCCUUUCACCAAGACUUGGGUGAUCGAUGGGCGACACCACGUUGAUCAUUUUAGCCAUGCGUCCAGACCAUUUCACAGGACACAGAAAGAUACAUGUCCUCCAUCAGCACUGAAAGAGACCUCCUCGGAAAGAAUUUGUUUUGUCAUACAAGACAAAUGAAUUCUGGUAACUUAAAGUGAAAAUUUCAUCCCACUGUUAAACUGAACCUCAAAUAAAA